rnacentral:rRNA from 1 species
AUUGAACGCUGGCGGUAGGCCUAACACAUGCAAGUCGAACGGCAGCACAGUAAGAGCUUGCUCUUACGGGUGGCGAGUGGCGGACGGGUGAGGAAUACAUCGGAAUCUACUUUUUCGUGGGUGAUAACGUAGGGAAACUUACGCUAAUACCUCAUACGACCUACGGGUGAAAGCAGGGGAUCUUCGGACCUUGCGCGAUUGAAUGAGCCGAUGUCGGAUUAGCUAGUUGGCGGGGUAAAGGCCCACCAAGGCGACGAUCCGUAGCUGGUCUGAGAGGAUGAUCAGCCACACUGGAACUGAGACACGGUCCAGACUCCUACGGGAGGCAGCAGUGGGGAAUAUUGGACAAUGGGCGCAAGCCUGAUCCAGCCAUACCGCGUGGGUGAAGAAGGCCUUCGGGUUGUAAAGCCCUUUUGUUGGGAAAGAAAAGCAGCAGGUUAAUACCCCGCGGUUCUGACGGUACCCAAAGAAUAAGCACCGGCUAACUUCGUG